UGGGGAAUUUUGGACAAUGGGCGAAAGCCUGAUCCAACAAUGCCGCGUGUGUGAAGAAGGCCUUCGGGUUGUAAAGCACUUUUGUCCGGAAAGAAAUCCUUGGCUCUAAUACAGUCGGGGGAUGACGGUACCGGAAGAAUAAGCACCGGCUAACUACGUGCCAGCAGCCGCGGUAAUACGUAGGGUGCAAGCGUUAAUCGGAAUUACUGGGCGUAAAGCGUGCGCAGGCGGUUUGCUAAGACCGAUGUGAAAUCCCCGGGCUCAACCUGGGAACUGCAUUGGUGACUGGCAGGCUAGAGUAUGGCAGAGGGGGGUAGAAUUCCACGUGUAGCAGUGAAAUGCGUAGAGAUGUGGAGGAAUACCGAUGGCGAAGGCAGCCCCCUGGGCAAUACUGACGCUCAUGCACGAAAGCGUGGGGAGCAAACAGGAUUAGAUACCCUGGUAGUCCACGCCCUAAACGAUGUCAACUAGUUGUUGGGGAUUCAUUUCCUUAGUAACGUAGCUAACGCGUGAAGUUGACCGCCUGGGGAGUACGGUCGCAAGAUUAAAACUCAAAUGAAUUGACGGGGUCAUAGCUGUUUCCU
rnacentral:rRNA from 1 species